CAGAAAAUAGUUUAGUUUCAGAAUGCUAGCUUUGGGGGCUAGUGGGGGGAGUUAAAAUCUCUCUUUUCUGG
rnacentral:tRNA from 1 species